GACAGUUCUGAGAAAUCACUUGACGUCACAGUUGCACGACAGAGCGAGAAGCAUGUGGAGAGUGAGAUUUGACUGAACCUACUUUGUAUGUGCAUGUGAAAGAGAGACCGGGGGGUGGGUGGCUGAGAGAGGCCCUAUGGUGACUCAGCAUAACAAGGUCUGCUGGGCCUGUAUGACCUCGUUCAUCAAGAUGACACUCGGCUCUGUUUCUGCCGUGUGAUUCACAAUGAGAACGGGACGACGAGAGGGAGACAGAAACAGAAGCAUGUGAGGAGAAACAGGACCUUGAGCAUGGACGUGAGGAAGACAAGAGAUGUUACGGGAAGAAAAGGCACAAAUGACAAGCAGAAAAGUUGAGUAAACAAACGCGUGAGGGAGAUCACAAACAGAGAACCGGGGGAUGAGAUAGUGAAAGAUAAACAGUGACAAAGUGAAGAGAAGAGAGGGGGACCAGAGCCGCCUGACUACAGUAACAGUCAGUAAACACAGCAACAGCAGAGACAUCCAUUCUGCUGAACGUGUUUAAAAAACUGUGACAAGAUUCAGCUAUUAAAAACUGCAGUUUGUCCUCAGCGCUGGCAUCUUCCACAUCACGUCCCAACACACAGCACAUCAGACUUCUCUUUUUGCUUUCAAGCUGUAAAGCUUCUUCCUAAACACAGCUCCCGAAACACACUCGUCACACUCUGUUUUUACACACCAAAACACGUUGAAGGGACACCGCCAGCUUCGCUGAUCAUCCGUUUGCUCGCAGUGUAACACAAAGUCACGACAAAAAUCAGAAAAUAAUGGGAUCCUGUAAUUGUUUGGCAAAAAAACUCUCAGCAAGGGAAUGAAAGCAAGUGUGUGGGCCAAGGGAACACCCAGCACCCCUGGCAGGUAGUGGUGUUGCGGCUUGAUAAACGUCGGGGCCCCUCUCCGUCAUGCAGGAUCCAACAGCACACACAGCCUUGAUAACAAGCACACGCUGAACUGAACCCGCAGCAGGAUCCACAUUUCACUUUCAUUAAUACAAUGACAGUGCAAUAACACACACUGUAAACACGUCAAACACAAAUCCACGAAAGCCGAAGGAAGACGGGGACAGGAGGUCUUUUUAAGUACAAAUUCUUUAUUUUGUUUUUUUUGGUAUGGCUUCUUUGAAGGGACUGUAAAAGACAUUCUUUAAAAAAAAAAAAAGUAAUAAUAAUAAAUAAAAAAAUCCUAGUGAACUUCCAAUGAAACCAGUCCAGGAGCUACAAACGAGAGCUCGUCGUUGAAUCCCCCGACGUGGUCACAGGAUAAACAAAAUGAAUACGACACCUGUAGAGCUGCAGCUAUGCCGAGUUAAAAGACAUCAGCGCCACAGUCAUAGUAACAAAAAAAAAAAAAAAAAAAACUAUUUUAACUUAGUACCUCUUAUAAAUACCAUAAAUAUUUAGAUGUACUUGAGGACUGAAGACAUUUUAAAAUGCUGUACAUGAAUGUCCUUUUGAGAGCAAUGGUUUUUAAACAAUCUCAGUGACGAUAAAGACUAAACAACGACAAUAAUAAUAGUAAUAAUGAUAAAAAAAACAACAAAAAAAAAAAAAACACUGGUGUUUGAGCUCAGUGUCAGCUACCUUUCAACAAUGAUAUAUGAAGCUCCUUGGUACCCAUUUGUCCACAUACUGCUUGUGAUUAUCUACAUCCAUGUGAAAUUACCAAGACUCAGAUUAAUAUGACUUUCCGGACCCAGUCGGGUCAGUAAUAAGAGACUUGCUGCGUGCAGCUCUGUGGAGGGAGGAGCACUUGAAAAAUUAGGAGAUCUCUUUUUCUUCUUUAUUUAUUUAUUCAUUUUUUUUUAUUUAUUUAUUAAGGCCUCUUGAUUAAAAUAAUAAAAAUGUUUGUAGUCUUGACAUUGACGUCUCAAAACAAUGCAACUCCCAUGGUCUUAUACUGAAAACUUUUGUCCGUGAGGUGCAAUCUCUCUUCAUCCUCCUACGUGGACGCUGUAGGUUUGUUCAUGUCGCAGGUCUCCGCCUCUCCGUGCACCGGGAUGGGGACCACGCCUGGGACGCCAGCUGUAUGCAUCGCCGAUUGCCUCCACCACUUUGCCUUCACCCCGCACUCCCAUCUAUGUCUGUCUUUCAGUGUCCUAAAGCAGCGGCGCCCCCAAAUAGCCACCCCCCAGAUGCUCUGUAAGCGGGAGGAAGGAGGUGUUACGUGUCCCAGACAGCUCUCCAAACAUCAGUAUGUACCACGGACAUACAUAGCUUUCACCGAUUGAGCCAAAAAACAUGCUAACAUUGAUAAGAAUGGCAUACAAACGCUGACAGGGACAUUAAUACGAUAAUAAA